UACGUAGGGUGCGAGCGUUAAUCGGAAUUACUGGGCGUAAAGGGUGCGCAGGCGGUUAUAUAAGACAGAUGUGAAAUCCCCGGGCUCAACCUGGGAACUGCGUUUGUGACUGUAUGACUAGAGUACGGUAGAGAGGGGUGGAAUUCCUGGUGUAGCAGUGAAAUGCGUAGAGAUCCGGAGGAACACCGAAGGCGAAGGCAGUGUCCUGGGGAGUACCUGACGCUCAGGUGCGAAAGCUAGGGGAGCGAACGGG
rnacentral:rRNA from 1 species